AUUGAACGCUGGCGGAAUGCUUUACACAUGCAAGUCGAGCGGCAGCGCGGGGGCGAACCCUGGCGGCGAGCGGCGAACGGGUGAGUAAUACAUCGGAACGUGUCCUUGAGUGGGGGAUAGCUCGGCGAAAGCCGGAUUAAUACCGCAUAAGCUCUGCGGAGGAAAGCGGGGGACGUGGUAACGGCCUCGCGCUGUUGGAGCGGCCGAUGUCGGAUUAGCUAGUUGGUGGGGUAAAGGCCCACCAAGGCGACGAUCCGUAGCUGGUCUGAGAGGAUGAUCAGCCGCACUGGAACUGAGACACGGUCCAGACUCCUACGGGAGGCAGCAGUGGGGAAUUUUGGACAAUGGGGGCAACCCUGAUCCAGCCAUUCCGCGUGAGUGAAGAAGGCC
rnacentral:rRNA from 1 species